CCCUUAGAUGUUCUGGGCCGCACGCGCGCUACACUGAUGCAUUCAACGAGUCUAAAACCUGGUCUGAUAGAGCUGGGUAAUCUUUUGAAUGUGCAUCGUGAUUGGGAUAGAUGAUUGCAAUUCUUCAUCUUCAACGAGGAAUGCCUAGUAAACGCAAGUCAUCAGCUUGCAUUGAUUACGUCCCUGCCCUUUGUACACACCGCCCGUCGCUCCUACCGAUUGAAUGUUCCGAUGAAUACCAUGGACUGAGAGUAUGAAUGGGUUCGCCUAUUUCUGCUUCUCGGGAAGUGGAGUAAAUCUUAACAUUUAGAGGAAGGAGAAGUCGUAACA
rnacentral:rRNA from 1 species